CUGAUCCACUGAUGUCAAAGAAGCUCUUCAAUUGAAUUCUGUAAGAACUGGGCCAAGUCCCCAGAUCGUGUGUGCCACUGCUGCUAUGGAGAGCAUCACACCUGGAGUUACAGAGUGUGCAAAACUUAUAAAAACCUUUUGUCAACCAGCAAUUAUAAUACCUCUGUUACACGGAGCAUGCAGAUAAAACUGUCAGAAAAGGCAAUUAAAUGGGACACGUUUUUAAUAUUCUACCUUCCAAAGGAGAAACAUUUUAUCUUCUCAAAAUUUCAGAGUAUCACAUUAACAAACUGUUGACAUAUUAAAGCCAUUAUUAAGAAACACGAUGCUGAAAGGAAAAUAAGAAUUACCGAUCAGUUAUUACAGUUCAAAUAUUUUUCUUACUUAGCAGCUGUGACGAAGUUGCACUCCUGUUACUUCUGCCAAUGAAUGCACUGAAAAAAACAGUACAUCAGAUUUCAGUGAGGUUUUCUGACACUACUUCCUUCAGAAAGAACCAGAUUCUACAACCUGCUCACCUGCCCAGCUAUUGAGAACGGGGCUGUAGGAGCUGGGAGGCAAGCAGGAGACAUCACCAGCCAUAGAGCACCCAUUCAAAAUGCAUCUGGACUUGCCAUUGUGAAGUAUUGCUGUUCUGUUAUGGCGGCAGGGGACAUGUUGGACAUGAAUGACUGGUAGGGAUGGCAACGAAACAUCUAUCAAAAUAUUUCUCAGCAGCUCAGAUGUUUUUUCUAGAUCAAAAAGUGUUUUCUUUCUAGGAGAAAUGUAUCCACCUUGUCAAAGAUGAGCACAUCUCAGUUCACUCCUCACAAAGAGUAGGGACGUAUUCUAUCCAGGUGUAUUCUGUCCCAUGCUCACAGCACCUCCCAGCCCUGCUUCUCCCUCACUGCUGUGUCCCACACACAGGACCUCCAUGGAGGAGGGUGCCAGGACAGAUUCUCCCACAAAGCUUGGCCACAGGUCAUGGUCUGAAAGUUACUCAGAGAAAAGAGCAGGAAUAAUACUUUCUUUUUCCCCCUCUGCUCAGUGAUUUCAGUACAACUCAAGCUCCUAACUGCUGUAGGGAUCCAGGCCAAAACAUAUUCAGUAAUAGAUACUGAAACAGACUAUUUCAUGUGCCAGUUCGGUAGGUUAAUUCACAUAAGCGAGAAAACAGUUCUGACUGAAGGGAGGAGUGAUUUUAAAACGUUGAUUCAUACAGAAGUGUUAGCAGCCUUGUGCUUAUACCCACCAUCACUGAACAGAACAGAAUCGGCAGCAAUGUUAUUUCCAAGUUCUGUGGUGUAAAUAAAACCCCUCUCUCUGACUCACAGUGAGUCAUUUUUGUCUGUAUGUGUUUAUGUCGAGGGAGAUAUAACUUGGUGCUCUGAGCAUUCUUCUUGACAAGAUCUUUUUGUGUCUCUUUUUCUCUUGCUUUUCUGUGAACUUUUGAGAUCUUUCUUGCCAGUGAUCUCCUUCUUGCUUAGCGUAACCUCAUCCCACUUGUUCAGCUUUCUGGCACAAGUGAAAAAAGACAUGAAGUUAUAUUGGCUGCAGUGUUGGCACGUUAUAGGGAAUUAUAUACAAAAUGAGAGAAUUUAAGUACCAAAGGCUGUAUGAAAGCAGCAACAUCUAGGCAAACUGACACCUAGUGUGUACAGUAACUGCGGGGCAUCUUCUGUUACUUCAGAUGAAGGUGUCUGAACAUCUCUUUUUUAAGGACCUCGCUGUUCACAGUUUUUUACCAUACCAUCAUGAUUUAUGCUCACAGCGGCCAGUCCCAGCCUUCAGAAAUGCAAAAGCAUGCUUAGCCCUUGCAACGGGGAAAGGAACAGAAACUAAGCCCAACCACAUCCCCAGUGCACAUCUGUAAUAUGUUUCUAUUUCUAGCCUUCCUUCUGAGCCCUGGGAGGUAAGGUGAGAUAUGACUGCUCCUGGGAAACAAUGGGGGAGUGUGUGUGACCAUAGCCCUCCACGCUGCCGUGGUGGUGUGGCCAUGUCAGUCACUCAUAUCACCUUUGAUAUCAGAGUCUGGCCUCAAUGAACCUGCUCAAUAUCUGCUGCAUGCUGCACUGUUUGGGGAUGAUCCCACCAGAGUUGCCAAGCUGUUUUCAAAAGACAGAGUGGAGAAGUCAUUACUUUGUCCAUGGCCUUCUCUUCAUUGUGCAGCUCUGGAAGAGCCUCCCAAAGUUCUGCACUCCCUCACUGUCCUGCCUGUGUGUGUGCUGUCCCCACCGCAGCCUGGAGCUCCUUGCUUGCGGUGACCAAAAUGGCUCAGGCCUGUCUACGAGGGCUGAGAAGGAUGGAUGGACUUCUGCAGGGGAUGAAAGACAGUGCCUUUCCCUGCUGCAUGGUGUUGUUCCAACCUAAGUGCUAAGUGAGACAAGAUUCUAAUGAGAAAAGCUCAUAUGUCGCCAGGUGAGUAUGAAAAAAUAUGUAUCAUAAGGACAUAAUCUAGGGAGGGCUGAGAUUAACAGUUCAUAAAUAAAAAAUGUAAAUAUGCAAAACAAAACAGUCUGUACAUACACAAGAGAACUGCUUUUUGGAGUACACCAUAAAUGCAGCAGUUAAUCUAAGCCAAGAGCUAUGCUAGGUUGUUAAUUCCAGCAGAUUAUGAUGAUCACUCUUCUUUUUUGCUCUCUGUGAAAUAAAUGUCUCAUGUGGAGGUUUUAAACAAGUCAGUCCUAUUUGCCAAACAAAUCCAACGUUCAAAGAGAUUGUGAACAUUAGCAGGCAAUGAUUUUUCCGUUUAUUGAUUCCCUGUAAGGAAAAAAAAUAAAUAAAUAGUGGGUAUUAGAGGAAUACCACAUGUACUAGCUCACUCAUAACACACCUGAGGGCAUGUGAACACGUUUGUUUUACCCCACUUAACAUACCUGUUUUUUCCCACUGCUCGUAUGAGAAAGGCAAGAUGUUUCAGUGGGCACAGCUCUUUAUAAUCCAGUGCCAACAGCAGAAUAUGAGACACCAAUAGAGCCGCUCACAGGUGUCUUCUCAGCAUUUCUUAAGUGUUCCUAGGAAGGCAGAUGCCCUCAGGAAGAAGGUAAUUUACGUACCAGUUCUACCUGUACACCUGUUUGCAAUGCAGAUACGCGGCUUUAUGCUGAGCGCUGAGCCAAUAGGAAGCUCACACACAGCACUGACUGCUGAUAAUUAAAGAAACCUUCAGGAGUAUCAUAUAAUAUCUGGCACGGGAUCCUCUCAUCCAUCCAGCAAAGGCUGCUCUGCCAUGCACUUUCCGUACCACUCUACUCGCUUCCGUAACAAUUAAGACAGUGUAUCUGUGAAUCAUGGUUUCCACUGCAACGUUCAGUGCACCGCUUGUGUGUUAUUGUUGUCUGAUGGCUCCUUCUUUAGUCUGCAGAGGGGAUCACUCUAUUACUGCAGUUCAGACAGCUCACAGGUUGGCCCUUGCCCCUCUCUUUCAUAAAGUAAGUAUAAUUAGAUGAUAAUGCCCUUCUUGUCAAAUCUUACCGCUUAUUUAAGCCUGCAGUAAUAAUUUCAAUUUAUUAAAGAUUUAUUCAGAUAAAAUUAUUAUCACUGUUUAUUCAAAUGGACAUUCUUUUUCUUUUUUUUAUGUUAUUUUUCUUUUUUUCUCUUCUCUUCUCUUCUCUUCUCUUCUCUUCUCUUCUCUUCUCUUCUCUUCUCUUCUCUUCUCUUCUCUUCUCUUCUCUUCUCUUCUCUUCUCUUCUCUUCUCUUCUCUUCUCUUUUUUUUUUUUCCCCCUCUUUUUCCAAGGAAACAAAAGCUAUA
rnacentral:lncRNA from 1 species